rnacentral:lncRNA from 1 species
CUUUGGUUGAACCUACUGGAUGGAGAAGGAGCUUGGUAAAGGAGCUUCUGUGGAGCAGAACAGAGCGAGGAAAGGGCAGGGAAAAAUGGAAGUGUGGACGGGCAUGGCCUGCCUAGAGUGAGCAUCUUUGAAUAGAUUGUCUUCAAUGUCAAUCAUUGCCACUGUCCCUCGGGCUGAGGCAUGGGUGGACCAGGAGCUGGACUGGCCAGUGGACACUCGCAGCCAUUUGGGAGGGCAAGGGGAUGCAAUGUUUGUCCACACAGGUACCUCCUGUGACUGGCACAGCAGCCCUUGGUGAUAAUCUCCAUGGGCCAGAUAAACAUGACCCUGUGUACUUCCAUUUCACUGCUCUGAUUCUUUCUUUCAGAAGCCUCCUACCACCCUCUGAGAAGAUUUUCCAGGCAAAACCCAGAUCUGCUGUAGUGACUUCAGAAGAAAGAGGUUUGAAGGAGGAUGAGAAGCCGAUAGCCAACGGUAUGUGUGUGAAAACACAUGGCAGACGUGUGCUCUCCAGCGUUCUGGCCAAGCCUAGCUGGAGAAAGCAGGGCAUGGGACAGGACAGGGAAGGACAAUGAAGGGUAAAAUAGGCAGUGGAGAGCAGGAGACUCCUACCAGUGGCUGUUCCAUGAAUCGUUUUUUUCUUUCAAAGGCCCAGUUUCCACAGAUGGAGGUAUUAACUAGGAUUAGAUAGGGGUGGGGAAUGAAACCAUGGGCAGAAACUCAGCAUCCAGCCGCCACUUAGAGAGAGCCUGCUGUGAGCCAGGCACUAUGCUGUAAACUGGGAUGUGAAGGUGGCGGAUACAGCCCUGCUGAGGCCAGAGGAAGCACUGCUGCUGAAAUGACAGAAACUUUCUUCUCAUACCCAUCCUGUGCUCCUUUUCCUUUCUUCCUUGGAGGCACUGUCCGAAGUGCUUUAUACACAUUAAUUCACUUAAUUCUUGAAAUAAUUUCCUAAGGAAGGAACUAAUAUUAUCCCACUUUACAGAUGAGUAAACUGAGGCACAUAGUGUGACAUGCACAAGAGCAGUGAAAAGCGUAAGGAAUGGGCUCCAAGAAUGACAUGCAAUCCGAUAGCUUCUUUUUCUAUAAUUCUCAUAAGAAAAUAAGUGUAAAGCACUUAGCCUGCACCUGGACACACUAAAUGCUCAGUACACGUUGGCUAUUAGUGCUGCAGAUAUUACUGUCCGAAGGAACUAUUGUCAGGCUCAUGUUAUUCAAUCUUUUCUCCUCUCUUUAGAAAUGGCAUUCAGUGUACUUCACUAAAGUUGUUGAGGCUUGAUAUGUUUUUAAAACCUAUUUUAGAGUAUGCCCUGGUUAUCUACCACCGCCUAAUAAACCGCCCUGAAAUUUGUUAUGCUCGCAGACUCUGUGAA